GGUAUGUGCCCUCAAGUUACUUGGUCUGAGCUUCUACCUUCUGUUCUAACACCUAUACAACCAGGUUGUUGAGAAGAUUAGACCAAAUAUGUGCGAAGACUCUCAUCAGUGAGGUGGCUUGUAAACUAUAAAUAAGCAUUUUUAAAUUUUGGAAAACAAACUCUGGAAAACUGAACAAGGAAUUUUGUGCUUCACCAUUCACUGCUGACUCCUUUUGCAUUAAGUCCAAACUAAUACCCCAACAGGUUGAUGGGUGAAAUUAUCCUACUGAACAUGUUUCAAAGACAGACAGGAUUAAGACCAUCAUUUUUUCACAGAA
rnacentral:lncRNA from 1 species